rnacentral:ncRNA from 1 species
AAAUCGUCGUGCUGGGGAUAGAUCAUUGCAUUAUUGAUCUUGAACGAGGAAUUCCUAGUAAGCGCGAAUCAUCAGCUCGCGUUGAUUACGUCCCUGCCCUUUGUACACACCGCCCGUCGCUACUACCGAUUGAAUGGUUUAGUGAGGCCUUCUGAUUGGCGCCGCGGCCCCGGCAACGGAGCCACGGAUUGUCGAAAAGUUGGUCAAACUUGAUCAUUUAGAGGAAGUAAAAGUCGUAACAAGGUUUCCGUAGGUGAACCUGCGGAAGGAUCAUUA